rnacentral:tRNA from 2 species
GCGAUCGUGGCGAAGUGGUUAACGCACCGGUUUGUGGAUCCGGCAUUCGGGGGUUCAAUUCCCCUCGGUCGCCCCA